UACGGAGGGUGCAAGCGUUAUCCGGAUUCACUGGGUUUAAAGGGUGCGUAGGAGGGCAGGUAAGUCAGUGGUGAAAUCUCCAAGCUUAACUUGGAAACUGCCGUUGAUACUAUCUGUCUUGAAUAUUGUGGAGGUGAGCGGAAUAUGUCAUGUAGCGGUGAAAUGCUUAGAUAUGACAUAGAACACCAAUUGCGAAGGCAGCUCACUAAACAAUCAUUGACUCUGAGGCACGAAAGCGUGGGGAUCAAACAGG
rnacentral:rRNA from 1 species